CCCGAGCAGUACAGGGGACAGAAUGGGGGCUGUGGUCAGUUCAUUGCACUUGUCUCGGCUACUUGUUCAUCUUCGUUGG
rnacentral:pre_miRNA from 1 species